CCUACGGGUGGCUGCAGUGGGAAUAUUGCACAAUGGGCGCAAGCCUGAUGCAGCCAUGCCGCGUGUGUGGAGCAGGCCUUCGGGUUGUAAAGCACUUUCAGCGGGGAGGAAGGCGGUGAGGUUAAUAACCUCAUCGAUUGACGUUACCCGCAGAAGAAGCACCGGCUAACUCCGUGCCAGCAGCCGCGGUAAUACGGAGGGUGCAAGCGUUAAUCGGAAUUACUGGGCGUAAAGCGCACGCAGGCGGUCUGUCAAGUCGGAUGUGAAAUCCCCGGGCUCAACCUGGGAACUGCAUUCGAAACUGGCAGGCUAGAGUCUUGUAGAGGGGGGUAGAAUUCCAGGUGUAGCGGUGAAAUGCGUAGAGAUCUGGAGGAAUACCGGUGGCGAAGGCGGCCCCCUGGACAAAGACUGACGCUCAGGUGCGAAAGCGUGGGGAGCAAACAGGAUUAGAUACCCCUGUAGUC
rnacentral:rRNA from 1 species